UACGGGGGGGGCAAGCGUUGUUCGGAAUUACUGGGCGUAAAGGGCUCGUAGGGUGCCAACUAAGUCAGACGUGAAAUCCCUCGGCUUAACCGGGGAACUGCGUCUGAUACUGGAUGGCUUGAGUUCGGGAGAGGGAUGCGGAAUUCCAGGUGUAGCGGUGAAAUGCGUAGAUAUCUGGAGGAACACCGGUGGCGAAGGCGGCAUCCUGGACCGACACUGACACUGAGGAGCGAAAGCCAGGGGAGCAAACGGG
rnacentral:rRNA from 1 species